rnacentral:RNase_P_RNA from 1 species
CGAGCUGGCAGGGCGGUCGCGACGCCGCGUCUCGGCGCGGUUUCGAGGAAAGUCCGGACUCCGCAGGGCAGGGUGGUUGCCAACAGCAACCCGGGGUGACCCGCGGGACAGUGCCACAGAAAACAGACCGCCUGCCGCGCGAGCGGCGGGUAAGGGUGAAACGGUGGUGUAAGAGACCACCAGCGCCCCGGGUGACCGGGGCGGCUCGGUAAACCCCACCCGGAGCAAGGCCAAGAGGGAGUUCACGCUCCUGCGCAGGCGUUCGAGGACGGCCCGUCCGAUGCCUGCGGGUAGGCCGCUAGAGCCUGUCGGCGACGGCAGGCCGAGAUGGAUGGCCGCCCAUCGCGGUGCCGCUACGGCGCACCGCGUGGACAGGAUCCGGCUUACAUGCCAGCUCGUCCG